AGGGGUUCGUAUCCCUCCGUCUCAGACGACCGCUGGCGGCGUGCCUAAUACAUGCAAGUCGAGUGGACCAAUGAAGAGCUUGCUCUUCGGCGGUUAGCGGCGGACGGGUGAGUAACACGUAGGCAACCUGCCUGUACGACUGGGAUAACUCCGGGAAACCGGAGCUAAUACCGGAUACUUCUUUCAGACCGCAUGGUCUGAAAGGGAAAGACCUUUGGUCACGUACAGAUGGGCUUGCGGCGCAUUAGCUAGUUGGUGGGGUAACGGCCUACCAAGGCGACGAUGCGUAGCCGACCUGAGAGGGUGAUCGGCCACACUGGGACUGAGACACGGCCCAGACUCCUACGGGAGGCAGCAGUAGGGAAUCUUCCGCAAUGGACGAAAGUCUGACGGAGCAACGCCGCGUGAACGAUGAAGGUUUUCGGAUCGUAAAGUUCUGUUGUUAGGGAAGAACCGCCGGGAUGACCUCCCGGUCUGACGGUACCUAACGAGAAAGCCCCGGCUAACUACGUGCCAGCAGCCGCGGUAAUACGUAGGGGGCAAGCGUUGUCCGGAAUUAUUGGGCGUAAAGCGCGCGCAGGCGGCUUCUUAAGUCAGGUGUGAAAGCCCACGGCUCAACCGUGGAGGGCCACUUGAAACUGGGAAGCUUGAGUGCAGGAGAGGAGAGCGGAAUUCCACGUGUAGCGGUGAAAUGCGUAGAGAUGUGGAGGAACACCCGUGGCGAAGGCGGCUCUCUGGCCUGUAACUGACGCUGAGGCGCGAAAGCGUGGGGAGCGAACAGGAUUAGAUACCCUGGUAGUCCACGCCGUAAACGUUGAGUGCUAGGUGUUGGGGACUCCAAUCCUCAGUGCCGCAGCUAACGCAAUAAGCAUCCGCCUGGGAGACGCGCAGUCAUCUAUCCAAUCUGAGGG
rnacentral:rRNA from 1 species